GCAAUCCGUUCCAGUGCCUCAACACCCUCACAGUGGAGAACAUUUUCCUUAUACCUAACCUGAACUUCCUUUAAGUUUAAACAUGUUACCCUUUGUCCUAUCGCUACAGCCCCUGAUGAAGAAUCCAGCCUCAAGGCUUGGGGGUAGAAGUGCUGAUGCAGAGGGUAUUGGAAAACCUGAGUGAGAGGGAGGAUGGAACAAAGUCCCAGCUGUGUUCUGGGGUGAGAAGAGAUGUUGAGCUGGAGGGACACUGCUGGACAGGGCUUAUUUCUUCCCCAGGGUUCAGAUUCAAAGUGCAGCGCAGAUACUCCCGCUGCAUGUUUUACUGCCCCAGGCUUGGGAAACUGGUGCAAGAAUGAAACCGCAGAGUGCUUCUGCAUUUGUGUUGUGGCUUCUGGCUGCUUAGCCCUGUUCAGAUGGAUCCAAGCUGAAGAUGAAAAUAAUCAGCUAAGGAAGGUCUUCAGCUCAAAAAGCAUCUUCCCUGAGAGAGCUAGCAGGGAGUGGCUGCGUUUAAAACCACCUAAACUUCAUAGCCUGCUACUGCAGGUAAGAAGCCAGAGAAAGUAAACUGAGAACAAUUAAAAAACUCGAAAUGUUGUAAGCGACUUCUACUUGUGGUGUGGUUGCAUCUCUAGCAAUGUUUUCCAUAUGCUGACACACAUGGUUGCUCAAGAGCUCAGCACUUGUUCCUGACGUGCAGGCCUGCAGAGCCAAAAUAGUAGGGACAUUUACAAUACAAUGAUG